UACGUAGGGGGCAAGCGUUACUCGGAAUUACUGGGCGUAAAGGGUGAGUAGGCGGCUGGGCAAGUCAAGGAUGAAAGCCCGAGGCUCAACUUCGGAACCGUCCUUGAAACUGCUCAGCUUGAGGGUAGUUGAGGAGAGCGGAAUUCCCGGUGGAGCGGUAAAAUGCGUAGAUAUCGGGAGGAACACCUGAGGCGAAGGCGGUUCUCUAAGCUACUCCUGACGCUGAAUCACGAAAGCUAGGGGAGCAAACGGG
rnacentral:rRNA from 1 species